GUUAGGAAUCUUCCACAAUGGGGGCAACCCUGAUGGAGCAACACCGCGUGCUGGAUGAAGGCCUUCGGGUCGUAAACAGCUUUUGUAUACGAAAAAUAUGACGGUAAUAUACGAAUAAGGGUCGGCUAACUACGUGCCAGCAGCCGCGGUCAUACGUAGGACCCAAGCGUUAUCCGGAGUGACUGGGCGUAAAGAGUUGCGUAGGCGGCUUAUUAAGCGAGUAGUGAAAUCUGGUGGCUCAACCAUCAACACAUUGCUCGAACUGAUAGGCUUGAGAAUGGUAGAGGUAGUUGGAAUUUCUUGUGUAGGAGUGAAAUCCGUAGAUAUAAGAAGGAACACCAAUGGCGUAGGCAGACUACUGGACCAUUUCUGACGCUGAGGCACGAAAGCGUGGGGAGCGAACCGGAUUAGAUACCCGUGUAGUCC
rnacentral:rRNA from 1 species